GUUUGAUCCUGGCUCAGAGCGAACGUUAGCGGCAGGCUUAACACAUGCAAGUCGAGCGACAAAGGGGCUUCGGCCCUGAGUAGAGCGGCGGACGGGUGCGUAACACGUGGAUAAUCUGCCUCGUGGCGGGGGAUAACAGUCCGAAAGGACUGCUAAUACCGCAUGUCAGGUCGGAAACCCCCGGUUUUCUGACGAAAAAGAGGGCGCCCGCAAGGGGCUCUCACCACGAGAUGAGUCCGCGGCCCAUCAGCUAGUUGGCGGUGUAAUAGACCACCAAGGCUAAGACGGGUAGCUGGUCUGAGAGGAUGACCAGCCACACUGGGACUGAGACACGGCCCAGACUCCUACGGGAGGCAGCAGUGGGGAAUAUUGGACAAUGGGCGAAAGCCUGAUCCAGCCAUGCCGCGUGAGUGAUGAAGGUCUUCGGAUCGUAAAGCUCUGUGGGAAGGGACGAAAAAGCCUAACCUAAUACGUUAGGUCUUGACGGUACCUUCUUAGCAAGCACCGGCUAACUCCGUGCC
rnacentral:rRNA from 1 species